GGAGAGGUCACAUAGUGGCCUAGUGUAGCGGUUUACUAAACCGCCGUCCUCACAAGGGACCGCGAGUUCGAAUCUCGCCCUCUCCG
rnacentral:tRNA from 1 species